GAUGAACGCUGGCGGCGUGCCUAAUACAUGCAAGUCGAGCGAACAGAUGAGGAGCUUGCUCCUCUGACGUUAGCGGCGGACGGGUGAGUAACACGUGGAUAACCUACCUAUAAGACUGGGAUAACUUCGGGAAACCGGAGCUAAUUCCGGAUAAUAUAUUGAACCGCAUUGUUCAAUAGUGAAAGACGGUUUUGCUGUCACUUAUAGAUGGAUCCGCGCCGCAUUAGCUAGUUGGUAAGGUAACGGCUUACCACGGCAACGAUGCGUAGCCGACCUGAGAGGGUGAUGGGCCACACUGGAACUGAGACACGGUCCAGACUCCUACGGGAGGCAGCAGUAGGGAAUCUUCCGCAAAGGGCGAAAGCCUGACGGAGCAACGCCGCGUGAGUGAUGAAGGUCUUCGGAUCGUAAAACUCUGUUAUUAGGGAAGAACAAAUGUGUAAGUAACUAUGCACGUCUUGACGGUACCUAAUCAGAAAGCCACGGCUAACUACGUG
rnacentral:rRNA from 1 species